rnacentral:rRNA from 1 species
GAUGAACGCUGGCGGCGUGCUUAACACAUGCAAGUCGAACGGAAAGACCCUGCUUUUGUGGGGUGCUCGUGUGGCGAACGGGUGAGUAACACGUGUGUAACCUGUCCUUGUCUUUGGGAUAACUCCAGGGAACUGGGGCUAAUACCGGAUAGGAGCUCCUGCUGCACGUUGUGGGUUGGAAAGUUUCGGUGGUUGGGGAUGGACUCGCGGGUUAUCAGCUGGUUGGUGUGGUAGGGGCGUACCAAGGCUUUGACGGGUAGGCGGCCUGAGAGGGUGACCGGCCACACGGGGACUGAGAUACGGCCCAGUAUCGUACGGGCGGCAGCGGUGGGAAAUAUUGCACAAUGGGCGGGAGCCUGAUACGGAGGCGCCGCGUGCGGGAUGACGGCCUUCGGGGUGAAAACCGCUUUCGCCUGUAACGAAGCGUGAGUGACGGUAAUGGGUAAAGAAGCACCGGCUAACUACGUG